rnacentral:rRNA from 1 species
UACGGGGGGGAGCAAGCGUUGUUCGGAUUUACUGGGCGUAAAGGGCGGGUAGGCGGCCACCGCAAGUCAGUUGUGAAAUCUCCGGGCUUAACCCGGAAAGGUCAACUGAUACUGCGGGGCUAGAGUGCAGAAGGGGCAACUGGAAUUCUCGGUGUAGCGGUGAAAUGCGUAGAUAUCGAGAGGAACACCGGUGGCGAAGGCGGCAUCCUGGACCGGCAUUGACGCUGAGGAGCGAAAGCCAGGGGAGCAAACGGG